rnacentral:lncRNA from 1 species
UAUAAAAGGUUUAGGGUUAGAUUUUAUAUUGUAUCAAAUAUUUUUUCAUCAAUUCUAAUAAAAGUGAAACCAUAGAACGGGGAAUAAAUAUGAUUACAAUUACCUAAAAUGUAAUGUAUAAGAGUGAUAAAGUAUUUAGUACAUUGAAAGGAUCCAUAAUUUAUUAAACAAUAGAAUAAAAUAUAGAAGGUAAUCUGAGCUUUAGAAACAUGCAUCCAACACACAGCAGCAACACAACGCAGCACAACUGCGUCAAAAUAAUCACACGUCAUUAAUAAUGAGAUCCAACAAAAGACACUAAUUAAAUAUGAGUAUUGAAUUUUUAGCCCUCUCAUGUCCUAGAUGAAGGAUUCUCGAGUCAAUAUUUUCAAUUUUAUUUCAAGUCUCAUUUCUUUUACAAAUGUUAUGUUUACGCUUAAAGUAUUAUUUUUAAGCCUAACUCAUCCCACAAAAUCGGUUUGUAAGGUGAAGUUAAUAUUCUUAUUUUUUUGGCAUUUCUCUUCCACCCGCUAUCGGGUUACUAUUGGACCACCUAAUUUUUACUAUCACGCAUGAGAUGUUUAUACCUCGGCGUGAAGGGGGUGUUAGAAGUCUUACACCGACUAGAGAUAAGAGACCAAUUUAUAAUAUAUAAGUGAGGUGCAAACCUCACCUUACAAACCGGUUUUGUAGAAUUGAAUUAGGCUUUAAACCCACUUUUUAAUAUGGUAUCAGAGCUAAUAAAAAUGACAGUUGAAAAUAUAAAAAAUAUUUAGAAAAAGGAAAAAAAGAAUUCUUUUCUAGUACUAAUAAAAAUAGUCUUUGAUCAUUCUUGUUAGGUCUUCCACCAUACUAUCAUUCUCUCUAAACUACAAACACUUCAUCUUGACUUAAAAUCUGUAAUGAUGACUCAGUGAAAAUUAAAAGCAAAAGCAAUAACUGAAGCCAAAUAAAUUUUCUUAACCCUAACAAAUAAAAAAUGAGUUUCUUUUUUAAAUGAAAAUCAAACUUUUAGGGUUAAAAACUGAAUUAUAAGGAGAUUGAAGAUAGUGCAUGUGGGGAGAAAGAGGAAUGAAUAAUUACCAUCCUUUCCAAAAGCCAUCACCCUUGGACUUCGUUUCCAUCAUUGAUGAAUUCUGAGGGUAUUGUGGAAUGUCUUGGGUGGGAUAACCAACGGGUGGAGGUGCAGUUGAAGGUGGAGGAUAAGCUACAUUCAAACAAUUAACCAUCAUCAUAUUAAUUAAUGUGUGUGCAUGUACAUAUCUUUGAAAUAAAUUAUUCACUUAAGUUGCUGAAGGAACUAUUAAUGAAGCCUGAGUAAUCAAUAUAUAUAUAUAUAUAUAUAUAUAUAUAUAUAUAUAUAUAUAUAUAUAUAUAUAUAUAUAUAUAUACACACAUCGGAAUAUGAUUUCUUAAGGAGUUCAUGACUUUGCAAUUUGAGAGGUUAGUUGUCAUAUUCACACAUAAUUAAUAUGUUGGGAUGAAAAUGGAAGAAAAAUGAAAUAAAAAUUAAAUCUUGUUAAAAAGUAAUAAUAAUAAUUAAUGUUAAAGUUAAUGUUAAGUUUGAGUAUUUUUAAUUUUAUUUCUAUUAAAUUCUAGAUUUAAUUACUAAUUUUAACUUUAUAUUUAAAUCUAUGAUUUAUUUUUUUUUAAUAUUUUAAAUGUGUUAUAUAACAAUGUCAUGAUUUUUUUUAUUAUUUAUUACAUCAUUAUUCAUAAUGAACAAGAGAAUCUUCCAUCACGAUGAGAUAUUAUUGUUAUAAGAUGUUUUCAACGUAAGAAAUAAAAGUUAUUCAACAUUUUAUUAACUACAAUUAUUUUAUAUUAAGUUGAUAUCACAUGGACAAACCAGUUAAAAAAAAAUUAACUGAUAAAUAUACAAUUAAAAAAUAUGAAAAUUUUGAAUACUCAGUAUACAAAAAACAUUAAUAGGUAUAUGGAUUUAAAAAAUUUAAUUAUAUCAGAAAAUAAUUACAUAAAUAGAAAUGGAUACAGCAUAUAAUUCUUGAAAAUAUAAAGUUGAUUUAGAAGUAAAAAUUUGAAGAAAUAUCAAAAGAGAUCGUAGAUUUAACUCUUCCCUGUCACAAAACAAAACAGCUAAUCAACACAUAAAAAAAAAGUAAUUAAAAUUCUAACAUGAAACCAAACACGUUAUAAUGGAGUAGUUAUAAUGAACUAAAAAUGUUAGGAAGCACUUGUCAUGUUGAAUACAUCAUAGACUUUUUAGUUAUACCUUUGCUCACGCAACAAUUCUCUCAAUAUAAAGCAACCAAAACUUGAUUACGUAAACAUAUAUGAUAAAUACUUUGAUUCUUUAAUAUUUUCAACCCUCGUAAAUCCAGAUUAAGAACAAAAGAAAAAUCUCAAAAUCAUUACAAGGUUUCUUGUCCUUUACAAAACCCAAAUUGCUCGCAAACCAAUGAUCAAUAUCUCGAUUUUGCAAAGAGUAUCAAAAUCUAAAAACAUUGGGAAAAAAACUGUGUUACUAUUUUAUACAUCUAACCAAACUGUUACUAUCACUUGUAUUAAUUGCGUAAAUGGCACGAACAAAAUUGUAGAAGAAAGUUUGUUUUCUGAUAAGCAAAAUUUUGUUGAUAGAAAAUCAAAUUAUCAUGUGAUUAGUUCAAUAAAAUAAAGAAUUCAUUAAUCGUAGAUUAAUUACAGAAACACAAUCUUCUUUCCUAUUACUAGAAUGAAGAACAUCACCUAUGAUAAUAACUUUCCAGCCAACGCGUGUAACAAACAAUUCAUAUUUGACUCUAACAUAUUCCAAAAGUUAUUGAAAGAAUAACACUAACAUCAAUACCAGAAAGAUUAAUCUGUGGCUAGAGGAUAUGAGAGAAGUGGACAAGUUCAAAGUUUAAUAUAAGAGAAAAUUAAGAAUAUAUAUGGUUUAUUUUCUAUAAGUGUGAUAUUUGAAACUUGUACAGCCUUGAGUGAAAGAAACGAGAAGAAAGAGAGAAGUGUCGUUAAAAGUGACACGAUUUUUAGUAUAAAGCAUGGAAGAGACUUUACCUGUAGCACUCUGACCUGAACUCAUCUUUAGAAAUUCUCAGCUCUUACCAAAUAACUGAAAGAAGAAGGGUGAAAGCGUACACACAUUAUAGACACAAAGUUAUUUAUAAAUAAGUGAGAAGCGAAGAUAUCAAGGUUUUCGUCUGAGGAAACUAACGAUGUUACUUGGAAGACAACGAAGAACUGAACAAGGAGACGGCACCACGUGAAAUCAAUGGAUGAAGAACGAGAAUAAUGGGAAUUUUUUA